CAGACCCCCACGUCCUCCCGCCCCGUUCCUCCCGCACCUGUUCGCCGCCCUUCGCCCCACCACCCCCUCCUACUGGAGCCGCCCCCCGCUGGAUCCGCCCUUCGCCGCACCCCGUUGGAGCCGCCCCCUACCGCGCUGGAUCCGCCCUUCGCCCCCCCUCUCCCCCACGCCGCUGGAGCCGCCGUCUGAGCUGCCCUUUGCCGCAGGCCGCCGCCGUGCCGCUCGCCGUUGUUCCUCUUCUGCUUCACAUGAGACUACUGGUGCACGGGCGGGAGGAUUUCCCUAGCCCUGCCCCGUCCUCUCAUCUCUCGAUCUGAUUGAAGCCACGGCCUGGGAAUGGCAACUGAGUCGUCGGCGGUGGCCGACAUGCGGAAGGCGCCCUCCAUUGAGUGGCGGUGGGUGUCCGUGGGGAGGAGGAGGACGACAAGCUGGAGGGCUCGCGACCGUCGGGGCGGCGGGAAGGGGCUGCACCUUCGAGUUCGAGGACGAGGAGGACAACGUCGACUACGAGGACGAGGACGAGAAGCACCGGAAGGCCAGGAAACUCCUGUCACGCACGGCCACCGCCAAACUGCCUCGCGGCCAGCCCCGUCCGCUGGUGGCGAUCUUUGUGCCUCCAACCGAUGGCGAUGACCAUGCCUUUUUCAUGGAGCAGACGAUAUUGGAUCUGAGUUCGUGAAGGAGGAGCAAAUGGAUAUUUGGAUUUGUGUUGCUCCUUAUUAAUAUAUGUACAAACGUGUUUUCUUCAGGUGCAAUGACACCGUGGCAGCCAUGGAGAAUAUAUGCAUGAAGCCGUGAGCAGUAAGCAGCUUAGCUAUUUAUUAUUGUUGGCCUUUUAAGUUUGAUAGUAUUGCUGGAUUACCUGCAUAUUAGAUGAUGAAUAGCUUGAGAAAAGCAAACCUUAUCAGUUCUAAAAUGUGCUGUUUUUUAGCAUAACUAAUCGUCGUGUGCUUAUACCAAUUAUACACUGCUAGAUAGACAUGCAUAAGUAUGCAGGUUGACGCAUAAGUCAUUUUACAGUAUGAUGAUGGUAACAAUCAACUAAGCUUCAACAACUUAUAACUGCAUGGCGAGUGGUCGAAUGCAUGCCUCCCCACACCUCUGUCGAUCCUUUUUUUCUGGUAUAAACAGAAUCUCAUUGUGCCAUCUCACAUUGCCAAUACCAGCCCCUCGAAGUAGUAUUAUAGCCUCUAUCACUCAAAUAACUUGAUACAAUUUGUCUCCUAUCAUUUCAAAUGUGAUUGCCUUCUAUUCCGCAUUAUUUGAAGUUGUUGCCGAAACCUUCUCCAUGUAGUGCCUUUCCUCAUCAUAUGAGCUGCUAGCCCGCGCGCACUAGCUAAUUUUUGUUCACCCUUUCUUCCCUAUAAUCUUUCUCUCUGCUUUUACUUCGCGGUCCUGUAGCUGUAUAUUAGGAUGAUAUGCUGAGCACAUAUAAGAUCGUCACAAGCAAGAUAGCUGGACUAUGGAGUGCCUAGGGCAGUGGUAAUUCAUAAAUUGCAUGAUGUUUAAUGGGAAGCAUCUGAGAGUACCAAUGUCCAGUAGUAAGAUCUGAUUUUAUAGGUGAUCAAGCCAAUAUAAGUGUACGUGCAUCCCUUUUUAGUACAGAUUUAUAAAAAAUAUGAUAUAUGCUAUGAUAUUUUCCAGAACAGUUGGCCCUUGAUCUUGAGGCACUCAUGUGUAUUGCUUUUCUUCCUAGAGAAAUACAUGUCUAUUGAUUAUUAUUGGAAUUGGUUUGAAGAAACAGAGUAUGAUCUUCUUUCACAAGUAGUGAUCAUAAAACAACAGGGAGAGGCGUUUUAGCUCCCGGAGGGUGUUUCAGCGGUGUGCUCGAGGACGAGCGUUGACAGCGCGGGUGUCCGAUUUCCAGCGGCGCAGACAUGGCGAUGGAUUUCCCAUCUCUCCGGUAGACAGGUUGCCCAUCUUCCUGGAUGAGGCGGCUAGCGCGGUGGCCCUAAUGGAUUUGAUUGGUGGCGAAGAGGAAUCCGCCAAUGGAUCUUGUGGGGCUGUUGUCGCCGGAUUUGCGCAUGACUCAUCUGGGCAGUUCGUACGUGGUGUUGUGUGCAGCAAGGAGAGGACUGUAGCUACCGGUGGUGCCGCCAUGUCCGGUUUCAGUAAGAGCGAGGGUGACAACGCAGAUGCAAUUGACCAAGCCGACGACCAAAGCACAUAUUGAUGAACACCAAGAGGCUGUGAUUUAAGAUCGAACUGAAAGUGGUGAUGGAGGGUCUGCUCAAUCUACUACUUGCAAGGUGGAUCCGCAAGCCCCUGGGUGGACUUAGAGAGUAAGAGUCGGGAAUCAGCCAAUGGAUAGAGCCCCAUGCCCAGAAAGAUUAGACGCGCUGGAGGAGACAAUUCGAGGGCAUGCAGAUAAAUUGGGAGACCAUGUAGUUGAGCCUGCUAUUGGCUUAACAUUCAACUCCUUGGGUGAAGCAUAUGAUUUUUGCAACCUUUAUUCGUGGGAGCAUGGUUUUGGUAUCAGGACACCCUGUCCCAGCGGGCUCGGCACACUCUCCGCUCCGCUGAAAUUACAGGACACCCUGUCCCAGCAGGCUCGACACUCUCCGCUCCGCUGAAAUUACAGGACCGGACACUAUGUCUGGGAAGAAUUUGUGCACUGGAGCAAAUGAUUUAGGGGUAUACAGAUUAGUUGGGUGAGCACGGUGCUAUUGGGCUAACACUAGACCCUAUGUAAGAAACCUAUGGUUUUUACAAUCUUUAUUCAUGGAAGCAUGGUUUCACCAUUAGAUAUUAUGGAAAAAGUAGGCUUAAUGUCAGGAAGACAAAAUGUAUAAAGGAAGUUUUCUGCGGAUGGUUGGGAGAGGAGAGUGGUGCAGCAGUGGUGGCAGGAGGAAGAAGAUUGCUCCAUCCAUCAGUUGGCCGAGCUCCGGCGUCCUCACAUCAGGCUUGGCUUGGAGUGCUGACAAUGAAGCAUUCUACAUGGUAUGCAUUCAGAUCCGCUUCAUCUGCUAGACGCUAAAUCGAGUCAAUGGACCAAUUGGCUAGAAUUAGAAAUUAACUGUGUGUAUUUUGUGUUUGCGCCUCCGUGUAUUUUUGCUGAACGCUUAGUGUGUUCAUCGCUGGGAGGAACUAUCUCUAAAUUAGUUGUUAUUAUUGCAAUGUAGUAGCCAACGUGCGUGUGGACUAAUGUUUAAUUAUGUGAGAUUACCCCAAAAUGCCUGAUGCUGUCAAGCUGCAAAAUGCACCUUCGUAACCUGACAAC